rnacentral:rRNA from 1 species
CUACGGGUGGCUGCAGUGAGGAAUAGUGCACAAUGGGAGGAACCCUGAUGCAGCAACGCCGCGUGGAGGAUGACGCAUUUCGGUGUGUAAACUCCUUUUAUAUGUCAAGAAAAUGACGGUAGCAUAUGAAUAAGCACCGGCUAACUCCGUGCCAGCAGCCGCGGUAAUACGGAGGGUGCAAGCGUUACUCGGAAUCACUGGGCGUAAAGGACGCGUAGGCGGGUUGGAAAGUCAGGUGUGAAAUCCUACAGCUUAACUGUAGAACUGCACUUGAAACUUCUAAUCUAGAGUAUGGGAGGGGGAGAUGGAAUUAGUGGUGUAGGGGUAAAAUCCGUAGAUAUCACUAGGAAUACCUAAAGCGAAGGCGAUCUCCUGGAACAUUACUGACGCUAAGGCGUGAAGGCGUGGGGAGCAAACAGGAUUAGAUACCCUAGUAGUC